GAUGAACGCUGGCGGCGUGCCUAAUACAUGCAAGUCGAGCGAACAGAUGAGAAGCUUGCUUCUCUGAUGUUAGCGGCGGACGGGUGAGUAACACGUGGGUAACCUACCUAUAAGACUGGGAUAACUCCGGGAAACCGGGGCUAAUACCGGAUAAUAUUUUGAACCGCAUGGUUCAAUAGUGAAAGACGGUUUCGGCUGUCACUUAUAGAUGGACCCGCGCCGUAUUAGCUAGUUGGUAAGGUAACGGCUUACCAAGGCGACGAUACGUAGCCGAACUGAGAGGGUGAGCGACCACACUGGAACUGAGAGACGGUCCAGACGCCGACGGGAGGCAGCAGGAGGGAAUCUUCCGCAAUGGGCGAAAGCCUGACAGAGCAACGCCGCGUGAGUGAUGAAGGUCUUCGGAUCGUAAAACUCUGCUGUUAGGGAAGAACAAAUUUGUUAGUAACUGAACAAGUCUUGACGGUACCUAACCAGAAAGCCACGGCUAACUACGUGCCAGCCGCCGCGGUAA
rnacentral:rRNA from 1 species